AAAAUUUUAUUUUAAAUAAAAUAUAAUAUUUACAAUAUUAAGUUAUAUAAUUAUAUAAAUUUUU
rnacentral:tRNA from 1 species